rnacentral:rRNA from 1 species
UACGGGGGGGGUAAGCGUUGUUCGGAAUUACUGGGCGUAAAGGGCGCGUAGGCGGCCUGUUAAGUCGAACGUGAAAUCCCCGGGCUCAACCCGGGAACUGCGUCCGAAACUGGCAGGCUUGAAUCCGGGAGAGGGAUGCGGAAUUCCAGGUGUAGCGGUGAAAUGCGUAGAUAUCUGGAGGAACAUCGGUGGCGAAGGCGGCAUCCUGGACCGGUAUUGACGCUGAGGCGCGAAAGCCAGGGGAGCAAACGGG